AGCAGUCGCCGCGGUAAUACGGAGGGGGCUAGCGUUGUUCGGAAUUACUGGGCGUAAAGCGCACGUAGGCGGCUUGGUAAGUUAGAGGUGAAAGCCCGGAGCUCAACUCCGGAAUUGCCUUUAAGACUGCCGAGCUAGUAGGUGAGAGAGGUAAGUGGAAUUCCGAGUGUAGAGGUGAAAUUCGUAGAUAUUCGGAAGAACACCAGUGGCGAAGGCGGCUUACUGGCUCAUUCUAGACGCUGAGGAGCGAAAGCGUGGGGAGCAAACAGGAUUAGAUACCCGGGUAGUCCCUGUCUCUUAUAC
rnacentral:rRNA from 1 species